rnacentral:rRNA from 1 species
AUUGAACGCUGGCGGCAUGCCUUACACAUGCAAGUCGAACGGCAGCACGGGUGCUUGCACCUGGUGGCGAGUGGCGAACGGGUGAGUAAUACAUCGGAACAUGUCCUGUAGUGGGGGAUAGCCCGGCGAAAGCCGGAUUAAUACCGCAUACGAUCUACGGAUGACAGCGGGGGACCGUCGGGCCUCGCGCUAUAGGGUUGGCCGAUGGCUGAUUAGCUAGUUGGUGGGGUAAAGGCCUACCAAGGCGACGAUCAGUAGCUGGUCUGAGAGGACGACCAGCCACACUGGGACUGAGACACGGCCCAGACUCCUACGGGAGGCAGCAGUGGGGAAUUUUGGACAAUGGGCGAAAGCCUGAUCCAGCAAUGCCGCGUGUGUGAAGAAGGCCUUCGGGUUGUAAAGCACUUUUGUCCGGAAAGAAAUCCUUGGCCCUAAUACGGUCGGGGGAUGACGGUACCGGAAGAAUAAGCACCGGCUAACUACGUG